rnacentral:tRNA from 1 species
GAGGGUAUAGCUUAACUCUUAGAGUGCAUGCUUAGCAUGCUCCAGGUCCUGGGUUCAAUCCCCAGUACCUCCU